rnacentral:sRNA from 1 species
AAGAUGCCCAACAAAGGCCUAGAUGCUGAUGAAGAAACUGGCUUUCUCAAGCGAAAUGCCGGAGACUCAGCAAAUCAAAUUCUUGUAGACCAAUGUGCGUCCACUGUGUCUAUGAAUAGUGAAACAUCUUUAUGGCAUAGAAUGACGGAAACUGUUGGUCAUUUCCUGACAGAACUAAUGUCACCCCCAACAAUUGCUACGUUUUUUGGUUUUCUCUUUGGUGGGGUUGAAUGGCUAAGGAAUCUAAUAAUAGGACGCGAAGCUCCACUACGAGUGAUCCUAGACUCCAUUCAAUUACUAGGGGAUGGUACAAUUCCUUGUAUCACUG